AGGGAUGUGGCUCAGCAGUAGAGCGCCUUCUUAGCAUGAAUGAGGUCUUGGGUUCAAUCCCCAGUCCCUC
rnacentral:tRNA from 1 species